rnacentral:rRNA from 1 species
GGGGAAUAUUGCGCAAUGGGGGAAACCCUGACGCAGCAACGCCGCGUGAAGGAUGAAGGUUUUCGGAUCGUAAACUUCUUUGAUGAGGGACGAACAAAAUGACGGUACCUCAAAAACAAGCCACGGCUAACUACGUGCCAGCAGCCGCGGUAAUACGUAGGUGGCGAGCGUUGUCCGGAAUUACUGGGUGUAAAGGGCGUGUAGGCGGGGAUGUAAGUCAGAUGUGAAAUUCCAUGGCUCAACUGUGGGGCUGCAUCUGAAACUAUGUCUCUUGAGUGCCGGAGAGGGAAGCGGAAUUCCUAGUGUAGCGGUGAAAUGCGUAGAUAUUAGGAGGAACACCAGUGGCGAAGGCGGCUUUCUGGACGGUAACUGACGCUGAGGCGCGAAAGCGUGGGGAGCAAACA